AUUGAACGCUGGCGGCAUGCCUUACACAUGCAAGUCGAACGGCAGCAGUGGAGAGCUUGCUCUCUGAUGGCGAGUGGCGAACGGGUGAGUAAUGCAUCGGAACGUACCGUGUAAGUGGGGGAUAACGUAGCGAAAGUUACGCUAAUACCGCAUACGACCUGAGGGUGAAAGCGAGGGGAUCGCAAGACCUUGCGUUAUACGAGCGGCCGAUGUCAGAUUAGCUAGGUUGGUAGGGUAAAGGCCUACCAAGGCGACGAUCUGUAGCGGGUCUGAGAGGAUGAUCCGCCACACUGGGACUGAGACACCGGCCCAGACUCCUACGGGAGGCAGCAGGUGGGGUAAUUUUGGACAAUGGGGGAAACCCUGAUCCAGCCAUGCCGCGUGAGUGAAGAAGGCCUUCGGGUUGUAAAGCUCUUUCGGCCGGGAAGAAAUCGCACAGGCUAAUACUCUGUGUGGAUGACGGUACCGGCAUAAGAAGCACCGGCUAACUACGUG
rnacentral:rRNA from 1 species